CUACGGGUGGCUGCAGUGAGGAAUAUUGCACAAUGGGGGGAACCCUGAUGCAGCAACGCCGCGUGGAGGAUGACGCAUUUCGGUGUGUAAACUCCUUUUAUAUGUCAAGAAAAUGACGGUAGCAUAUGAAUAAGCACCGGCUAACUCCGUGCCAGCAGCCGCGGUAAUACGGAGGGUGCAAGCGUUACUCGGAAUCACUGGGCGUAAAGGACGCGUAGGCGGGUUGGAAAGUCAGGUGUGAAAUCCUACAGCUUAACUGUAGAACUGCACUUGAAACUUCUAAUCUAGAGUAUGGGAGGGGGAGAUGGAAUUAGUGGUGUAGGGGUAAAAUCCGUAGAUAUCACUAGGAAUACCUAAAGCGAAGGCGAUCUCCUGGAACAUUAUUGACGCUGAGACGCAAAAGCGUGGGGAGCAAACAGGAUUAGAUACCCCCGUAGUC
rnacentral:rRNA from 1 species